ACUUUAUUUUUUCAUGAGUUAUUUACAAGUUUCUGACCACUUAUAAAAUGUGUUCGAUGCAGGGGCGGAGCGUGGGGGUGGCUUACUGGGCUUAAGCCCGGGUUGUUUUGUCAGAAGCCCGGGGUCUUUUGGAGUGUAAUUUUUUCAUAGUUAGAUGCCUGGCUGACAACUGUAUAAAACAAAAAGUACACACAAUAUUCGAAGCACAUAGUGCACACUGUGGGAAUUUACGACUGUGCGUAAAUCCCCCCUGAUAUUGGUAUGAUCCGAGCUCGCGACUGAGCGAGGGGGCGGGGCAGCUGCUGCCUGUGAGUGCGCUGUUGGAGAAACUGAGCCAGCCAGACAGGGGAGAGCUUAAGUUCGACCAGUUGUUACCCUCCCCGACUAAAUCGGUUUCAGUUAUGUACUGAAAUAUAAGAAUGGACAUUAGAGGGUUCUUUCAAAGAAAAAUGUCAGCACAGAGGGAGAGAGAGGAACAGAGAGGGAGAGAGGAGCAGAGAGGGAGAUGGAGAAUGAGGACAGAACAGAGAUGGAACAAGAGCAGGUGAGACACACAUGUUAGUCAAAUGGUUGUUUACCAAAAGUAUCACCGUAUCAUAGGUACUCAUGUAUCUCGUACCUCGUGUUUCUUUUUAGGUUUGUUAUUUUUCAAGUUAUAUAUUUAUUAAGUUAUGCAGGCUUGUUUGCACAACAAGGCUAAGUAAUUAUAUAAACUUUUCUGAAUCUAAAUAGUGUACUUUGGUAGAAUUAAAAAAUAAGUGUCAUGCAGGUCUAUGAUGAUUUUUAGUGCUACUAUCAUCUAGUUUUGAUUCUGGUUCUGUCUUGGAUAAGUCCUAAGUAGUCCUGAUUUUGAACUGUUGUAGUCCUGGUUUAAUUCCGGAUCAGUUCUGGGUCUGGUUGAAUUGGGGUUUAGUCCUCGUGUCUUGAUACAGCACUGAUUUUGUUCUGCCUUGCUGCUUAAUUAAAAAAGUAGUUUAAGGUGUCCUGCAUAUGUGAUAUAUAUUUUUCCCUAUAUGAAGUCAUUUUUUUUAAACAAAACUCAAAACAGAGCCUAUUAAUCUUUCAGUCAUUUCUAACUCCCCCCCCCCCCCAAAAAAA